rnacentral:ncRNA from 1 species
UGAAAAUAGCAAACCCGUCAAAAGGCGGGGACGCAAAGCCACGGGUCUAAAGUUAUCUAUGACAGCCGGGUUGCCA